GCGCACGGUGGCUUAGUGGUUAGCACGUUCGCCUCACACCUCCAGGGUCAGAUCCAGGGGUUCGAUUCCCGCCGGGGCC